GACGAACGCUGGCGGCGUGCCUAAUACAUGCAAGUUGAGCGCUGAAGGUUGGUACUUGUACCAACUGGAUGAGCAGCGAACGGGUGAGUAACGCGCGGGGAAUCUGCCUUUGAGCGGGGGACAACAUUUGGAAACGAAUGCUAAUACCGCAUAAAAACUUUAAACACAAGUUUUAAGUUUGAAAGAUGCAAUUGCAUCACUCAAAGAUGAUCCCGCGUUGUAUUAGCUAGUUGGUGAGGUAAAGGCUCACCAAGGCGAUGAUACAUAGCCGACCUGAGAGGGUGAUCGGCCACAUUGGGACUGAGACACGGCCCAAACUCCUACGGGAGGCAGCAGUAGGGAAUCUUCGGCAAUGGACGAAAGUCUGACCGAGCAACGCCGCGUGAGUGAAGAAGGUUGUCGGAUCGUAAAACUCUGUUGGUAGAGAAGAACGUUGGUGAGAGUGGAAAGCUCAUCAAGUGACGGUAACUACCCAGAAAGGGACGGCUAACUACGUG
rnacentral:rRNA from 1 species